rnacentral:rRNA from 1 species
AGUGAACGCUGGCGGUAGGCCUAACACAUGCAAGUCGAACGGCAGCACAGUAAGAGCUUGCUCUUACGGGUGGCGAGUGGCGGACGGGUGAGGAAUACAUCGGAAUCUACUUUUUCGUGGGGGAUCACGUAGGGAAACUUACGCUAAUACCGCAUACGACCUACGGGUGAAAGCAGGGGAUCUUCGGACCUUGCGCGAUUGAAUGAGCCGAUGUCGGAUUAGCUAGUUGGCGGGGUAAAGGCCAACCAAGGCGACGAUCCGUAGCUGGUCUGAGAGGAUGAUCAGCCACACUGGAACUGAGACACGGUCCAGACUCCUACGGGAGGCAGCAGUGGGGAAUAUUGGACAAUGGGCGCAAGCCUGAUCCAGCCAUACCGCGUGGGUGAAGAAGGCCUUCGGGUUGUAAAGCCCUUUUGUUAGGAAAGAAAAGCAGCAGGUUAAUACCCCGCUGUUCUGACGGUACCCAAAGAAUAAGCACCGGCUAACUUCGUG